CUCUGUGUGAUUUGAAAAUGGGAGGAGGCUGAGGAGGUGUGCUCCGUCGAGGGAUCCUCCGCUAUCGCGGAUGCGGCUACCCGAUGCCCAGUCCCCAUGGGGCCAUGGAGCUCAUCCCCGUGGGGCCAUGGAAGCAAUUGCAGGAAUAUAUUGCCAUGCCAUUUCCGUCAGAAUAACAGUGAUGGCAAAACUAAAGGUUUUUACAUUGGCUCAGGUAUGCAUGCUUUGCAUGAUCAAUCAGGUGAUGCUAUCUGGUUGCAAGAGGAUACGAUCCGUAUCAUGCAUCUAAUCUACCAGCGAGGAGAUCAAGAGCAGACAACUCUGUGCAUUCAUGGAGCUGAAGGUUUUGUUCAUUCUAGUGGAUGGAUCUUCAAAGCCUUAACAUCUUUAUGUCAUGUGCAAGCAGAUGAGGUGUGAAGACUUGUUUUUGGAUAUGGUUAGAUGACAUAUCCUUCAUGAACCGAGUUGGAUAACUAUACCACUAACUUGAAGAAGCUAGAGUUCUUGAUGGGUUGAAACAAGGAUGAACACACAUGGUAAAUGUGGGUGAACUCUGCUGAAUGUGUUUUUUGUCAAAGUGGUAGUUAGUUUUGCAGAAACUCCUAAAUAUUUUUAAUUGGUGAAUUACUCAUGCUCUUGUAUGACUUCCCGUUUAGUGCAGUACAGUAGUAUGAAUGUUCUUUUUUAUAGCGGCAGCUGUUUUGUGAGUUAGAUGUGAGUGGUUUAAUUGAUUAAGAACAGAUUGAGGGUGAGUGUAUUGUAGGGUACGGUUGCUCUGGGCAAAGUAUAUUAUUAGUUAGGCAACGUAUUGUUAUUUGUUAGCCAAAGUAAUAAUUUUAGUUAGGCAAUAUAAUGUGUGGCUGUGUUCAACAAAUGUUUGACCGGUCACAAAAGUUUCGUACAUGUAAGUAUACUUUUUCUUUAAAUUGGACUGAACCUUUAUCCUGCAUACAAUAUUUAGAUUCUGCGUGAAAGCAUUUUUUUCUUUUUGGUUUUCAAGUUAAUGGUGAACUGUGUGACACUGAAUCUGUCAAGCCAUGUAGCCUUAUUAGCAAGUUGCAUAAAAGCAUUUACUGCGGUGAGUGAGUACCAUCAAUUAGCAUGUUUGACACUUG